AUCCAAGCUAGGCGCGGCCGUACGUUUAGGCUCCGUUCAGUUCACCACGGUGGCGUUUCACCGUCUGCAAGCGAAGACGAGCUGGAGACGGCGAUGUGACGCCGACAUGGCGAGGUCCACUUUGUUUCUUCCUUGGCUGCGGCUGGUGCCUGGCUGGCUUUCUGCCUGCUGAAUAUUUUCCCUCUUCUCCACCUUCCACGAGCCUGAGGAGAAGACCUGCAUUGCGUCCCGGGUCGUCGCCUCGUGGUCGUGGGCUCCUUGGUGGCUACAUAUUCUUUUCGGACUGAAUUAUUGCCAGCCUGGGGGGAAAGCAUCCCCAUUUCUCUAUCAUCUCUGGCGCUCCUACCGAAGUGUACUAGAAAGUAAUAGCAGCGACCUGAUUAUAUAGCACGUCGGGCUGGUCGUCGUCUCGUCUCGCCGGGAGAGGAUAGGCACGGGACAGGGCGGAGAGAGGAAGCACAGCUGAUCGCAGCCGGAGAACCGCCCAUCCGCCAUGAGCGACGGACAGGGCAAUGCUCCUCCUGGAGGCUACUUCAUCGGCCGUCCGGCAAACACCGACGAGCCCAAGGAGAAAGAACCGCCGCAGGCCCUCCCUGAGCCUGCUCCGGCUGUGAACAAUCUUCCUGGUGAUUACUUCGUCGGCCGCCCGUCAAACCACGAGCAGAACACGACGCCGCCGCCGCCUAAACCGAGCUUCUUGGCCAAAUUCUGUCCAUGCCUCGCCGGCGGUGGAGCUACCAGCUAGACCGACAAGCCCAGCCGUGGUGAGCCGUGCACGUGACCGCGGGAGGAUUUGAGGCGGAAUCGGGUCCAUAAGUCUCAAUUCUGUAUUGGAACCGUGCGAGUCUCUUCAUCUUUGGAAGCUCUGCUCUGUUUUUCUUUCCUCCUCUAGCAUUUGAUUCCGACGUAUUCAUUCGUGUAAUGCCGACAAUCGUAAACUCGACGAAAUUGCCAUCCGUCCUUGUGAAAUGAUGUUGAUUUGUUCAAUUGUA